AACGUAGGAGGCAAGCGUUAUCCGGAUUCACUGGGUGUAAAGCGCGUGCAGGCGGUUCGGUAAGUUGGGCGUGAAAUCUCCCGGCUCAACUGGGAGAGGUCGUUCAAUACUACCGGACUUGAGAGUGGUAGAGGAAGAUGGAAUUCCCGGUGUAGUGGUGAAAUGCGUAGAUAUCGGGAGGAACACCAGUGGCGAAGGCGAUCUUCUGGACCAUUUCUGACGCUCAGACGCGACAGCUAGGGUAGCAAACGGGAUUAGAGACCCCGGUAGUCCUAGCCGUAAACGAUGUGAACUUGGCGUCGGUGGGUUAAACUCCAUCGGUGCCGCAGCAAACGCGAUAAGUUCACCACCUGGGGACUACGGCCGCAAGGUUAAA
rnacentral:rRNA from 1 species